rnacentral:misc_RNA from 1 species
UUUUAUUUCACAUAAUCUACAAGUCAUGGAACUGGGAAAAUUAUUAGUAUUACCUGGUGCAUCAGUAAACAAAUCAGAAGUUGCUUGUACCCCCGACUGGCAAACCCUUAGCACCAGGAACGUCGAUCCAUUCGAGCUGAAUUGCUACCUCACCACACUCCACGUUCUUCAACCUCAGGAACAUGUUCUGUACAAUUUUCCCCUUGUGCCAAACACAUUGGCUCUCAUCAGCUAAAUUGUUUGUUCUUUUUGGAUAUACUCUCUUAACCACACACCCAUCUGGGAGGCUCUCCAGUCCCAUUGUCAAACAUUCGAUGUAUGGUUCGAUGUCGAUCUCGGCAUCUCCCAUUUUGUCAUG